rnacentral:rRNA from 1 species
AGAGUUUGAUCAUGGCUCAGAUUGAACGCUGGCGACAGGCCUAACACAUGCAAGUCGAGCGGUAACACAGAGAGCUUGCUCUCGGGUGACGAGCGGCGGACGGGUGAGUAAUGUCUGGGAAACUGCCUGAUGGAGGGGGAUAACUACUGGAAACGGUAGCUAAUACCGCAUAACGUCGCAAGACCAAAGUGGGGGACCUUCGGGCCUCAUGCCAUCAGAUGUGCCCAGAUGGGAUUAGCUAGUAGGUGGGGUAACGGCUCACCUAGGCGACGAUCCCUAGCUGGUCUGAGAGGAUGACCAGCCACACUGGAACUGAGACACGGUCCAGACUCCUACGGGAGGCAGCAGUGGGGAAUAUUGCACAAUGGGCGCAAGCCUGAUGCAGCCAUGCCGCGUGUGUGAAGAAGGCCUUCGGGUUGUAAAGCACUUUCAGCGGGGAGGAAGGCGUUAAGGUUAAUAACCUUGGCGAUUGACGUUACCCGCAGAAGAAGCACCGGCUAACUCCGUGCCAGCAGCCGCGGUAAUACGGAGGGUGCAAGCGUUAAUCGGAAUUACUGGGCGUAAAGCGCACGCAGGCGGUCUGUCAAGUCGGAUGUGAAAUCCCCGGGCUCAACCUGGGAACUGCAUUCGAAACUGGCAGGCUAGAGUCUUGUAGAGGGGGGUAGAAUUCCAGGUGUAGCGGUGAAAUGCGUAGAGAUCUGGAGGAAUACCGGUGGCGAAGGCGGCCCCCUGGACAAAGACUGACGCUCAGGUGCGAAAGCGUGGGGAGCAAACAGGAUUAGAUACCCUGGUAGUCCACGCCGUAAACGAUGUCGAUUUGGAGGUUGUGCCCUUGAGGCGUGGCUUCCGGAGCUAACGCGUUAAAUCGACCGCCUGGGGAGUACGGCCGCAAGGUUAAAACUCAAAUGAAUUGACGGGGGCCCGCACAAGCGGUGGAGCAUGUGGUUUAAUUCGAUGCAACGCGAAGAACCUUACCUGGUCUUGACAUCCACAGAACUUUCCAGAGAUGGAUUGGUGCCUUCGGGAACUGUGAGACAGGUGCUGCAUGGCUGUCGUCAGCUCGUGUUGUGAAAUGUUGGGUUAAGUCCCGCAACGAGCGCAACCCUUAUCCUUUGUUGCCAGCGGUCCGGCCGGGAACUCAAAGGAGACUGCCAGUGAUAAACUGGAGGAAGGUGGGGAUGACGUCAAGUCAUCAUGGCCCUUACGACCAGGGCUACACACGUGCUACAAUGGCAUAUACAAAGAGAAGCGACCUCGCGAGAGCAAGCGGACCUCAUAAAGUAUGUCGUAGUCCGGAUUGGAGUCUGCAACUCGACUCCAUGAAGUCGGAAUCGCUAGUAAUCGUAGAUCAGAAUGCUACGGUGAAUACGUUCCCGGGCCUUGUACACACCGCCCGUCACACCAUGGGAGUGGGUUGCAAAAGAAGUAGGUAGCUUAACCUUCGGGAGGGCGCUUACCACUUUGUGAUUCAUGACUGGGGUGAAGUCGUAACAAGGUAACCGUAGGGGAACCUGCGGUUGGAUCACCU